UGCGUGCGAGUGUCGUUGUACGUUGCACAGACAAAUCUUUACCGCCUCAGACGGCGACUGCCCUUCUGCGGUUGCUUGCGCUUCCUGGGCACGCUGCUCACGUAAGCCGCCAGCACUCCCCAUCCAUCCCCCACCAGCUGUGAGGAAGAAUAACGCCUUGCUGUGACGCCCACACAGUCGCUGUAGCAUCGCUCCUGCGAGAAGACACACUUGCUCACCCGCACAAACGCGGUCGCAGCGAUUUCGGCCUUCCCUUGUUACGUGCUUCUCUGUCCCUUUCACCCUUUGGAAUAUCUCUCUGCUGCUUUGCUGCCCUCGUCGAAGGAGGACACAGCACGAGCAGCGCGUGCCGAUUGCCGAAAGGUUGUGGUGCUGUGCUUGCUGUCAGUGGCUUUUCGCAUUUUGCGUGUUGGGUGUAUGUGUUUGCGCAAAGGCUGCGCUGCGCUUGUCUGCGGUGGUGGUGGUGGUGGUGGUGGUUUUCAACAUCGCGUUUUGUUGUUCCCGGCUCACUGUUUUCGAUAACCGCUGGACAGCGCGGCGUGAUUCCUCCUGUACUGCUGUCUCUCUCUCACUCUCUUGAGUUGUUUCUACCUUUCCCAAAUCAUCUAAACCGCGCGUUCCUCGAAUGGAGUGCCACGCAGCACCAGAGCCGACGGACCUAAUGGCUCCUUCACAUGUGCCAGCGGCUACAUCUCCCCUAGCAGCAGCUACGGCGACGGGCUUCGACGAGGAUGACGUCCUCUCGCAACCUGGAGGUGCCCAUGCCCCCGCGGAUCUGGAGUUGACGAUGCAGGCGCUGUUCGGUCCCAUCUUCCAGGUGGAAGAACUUGACCGAGCCGCAGCAAAGGAUCCGGGUCUCAUUGAUACACGGUCCAUCCUGCACGACCUCUUCGGUGGUGCCAUCCGCGAAGAUGACGUGCACCUCUUUCAAGAGGAGCGCCACAGUGCUGAGGCGCUUGCACGAGAGAUGAAAAUGAACAAAGAUGUGCUGGUGUACGAGGAGGGUGCGCGGUACUUCGGCAGCGCCGGUGCCGACGUACUUCGCGCCGAUCACAACGUUCCUUUUACGCUUCUCGAGAGCUCGCUGCCGGAGCGCUGGGGCGAGAAGCGGGAGAGGGCGGCGACGCCAUCCUGGUUGCUGGACAUGCCCGUUAUCUUUCCGAACCGACAGACGCUGCACGCCGACCCGCGCCCUUGCGACCCGUCUACGUGCGCAUACUUGGAGAGCAACAAGUUCAUGCUCUACACGCCGACCAACGUGCUCCGGUGGAGCGUCAGCGAUAAGGGGGUCUCGAGCAAUAGCCGCAUCGUGCGCUGGAGCGAUGGCUCCAUGACGAUGCACGUCGGCAACGACGUGCUAACGCUGCUGCCCUCGCAAGAGUCCACACUGAAUCUGCUCGGCGAGACGCUGGAAGUGGGCAAGGCAGGGAUGGAAAUCGAUGCUGUGAUUGCCUCGACGGUGCCAGAGAAGCAUCUCACCGCGCGCCUCGGGGAGGCGGCCUCGAUCGAGGCUGCCCUCGCGCAGGAGCGCCGCCAGCGCGAAUUGGAGAAUCGCCACCGCAACUUGCCAUACGCGGACUCUUCUAUGCCGCCAAUCGACUGGGCUCGCCCGCGCAAGGGACGCAGCAUCCACGAAGAGUUUGUACGCGAGGAAUACGAGAUGCGCGAGCGGGAAAUGAAACGGCGCAUAAAGGAUGGCCGGCCGAUGACACUGGCGGAGCAGCUGCAGCUAGAAGCACGACUUCAGGAUCAUGUCACAACUGCCUCGGCGGAGCAGCUGCAGGCGGAGCGCGAGGAUCAGCUGCGUCGGGCGGCUCUCAAAGCGGCGCAGCGUGCGGAGAAUCGCGGCCAGAAGCGGAAUCGGUUUGACCGAGAUCUCGACCUGCACGGCGGCACCGAUAGUGGACAUGGCAUGGGGAGCGACCCGUUCCUGCGGGACAAGGAGGACGACGGGAGCGACAGCGAUGAGGACGUCAGCGAUGUCGACUCAUUUGAGCAGCAGUUGGCGGACAUGUACGCGCGAAACAACGCAGCCGACGCUACGGCAAGGCCUGCCGAAAAGAAGCUCAAAUCCGAGCGAAGCAACUCUCGAUACGACGGCUUAGCAGCGGCACUUCGAUCUCUGCUGACACAAAUUCCCAUGAACGCCGAGGCGUUCGCCUCUGUGGACGGCACACUUACCUUCAUUAGCCUGAAUGACACCCCAGAAGACGUGGUGAGGUCGGAGGUGCCGAAAAUGCUCGCCGAGGUGGCGGCUGAGCUGCCGACGGUGAACACACAGCGAGUGAAAGAGGAACUCGCCGCCCUCUUUUCUGGUGAACUGUGAGAGAAGUCUGCGGUGCGAGCUGAUGUGGCUGCGAGAUGAAUGAUGCGGAACUCUGCAUGCCCGUCUCCUUCGCCCCGCCAACCCUUCUUCUAACGAUGAUGGUUGUCGGCACUUUGGGCAGAUUUCCUCCCGACGUGUUGUGCACCACUUCUCCGAUUUCUUUUCAGCCGUUUUCACCUUUUUUUCCCGUCCCGCUGUCCUCUCCUUUUCGUGCGUGUGUGUGUGUUUACGUGUACGUGUACGUGUACGUGUGUUUGUGUGUGUGUGUGUGUGUGUUUGUGAAGAUGAGUAGGUGGAGACCGGCCAGCUGCCUACCCUGCUGCUCUGCGCACACGUGCAUGGUCUGUGGCGACAGUGGCCACGGGCGCUCGGCGAACUGUGUCGUCCGUGUGUUUGUGGCUGUAUUUGAUGUAAAAGCGCGAGAAGACGUGCCUGUGCACCCUCGGCGAGAUCAGUGGCGUAGAAGCAGAUACCUCGAGAAGGGCGUAUGUAAAGGGCAGUCGAGGAUAAGUGCAACUGGCAGCAGCCGUAUGCGUGUGUGUGUAGUAUGUGGAUGCCCACGGGUUCCGGCUGGUAUCCAUUUUUUUUUCUCUGCUGCAUGCUGUAUCAGUGCAGGUGCGCCUUACGGAAAGGGUGGGUGGGGCCAUGUGAGCCCUUUGUUGUCGUUAUUCAUUCCCUUUUUAGCUUGUGUUCUAGGGGCAAACAAACAAGAGAUGAGGAAAAGGUGCACUGCUUGAAUCAGAUGGACUCCGCACUGUUUUUUUUUUUUUUAUAUUGUGAGUGUGUGUGUGUGUGUGUGUGCGAACAUCACCGGAGGUGAGAAGAGGAAAACCCGGAAGGUGGCCCAUCUCUCUCUCUUUCUCUCCAUUGUCUUGUUUCUUCUUCCAUCUGCGGACUUUCUUCUCACGCUGAUAAGCGAAGAGUGUCGCGCGACUCAAUGAUUGUUUAUAUAUAUAUAUAAUAUUGUAUUUGUUGUUCUUGUCUCUGCCAUACCACCCAACUAACGAGCUGAUAAUGUUUGUUUCCAGUGGUGAUUGUGUGUGUGUGUGUGUGUGUGUGCCUAGAGAUUUUGUACGUCGUGGGCGCAAUUGUGUAGUGGUGCGUCUUUCUUCGUGUGGUGCCUGAUCAGAUGCCGUUGUUGGAUUCUUUGGUCGUCCUCCUUGGCCUGCCCCCGACAAACUUCUCUUUUCUUAUUUUCCCAGGCUCUCUGAUCUGUCAAGCGGGUGUGUUAGAGAGGGAUACUGAUGGAAAAGACCUUCAACGAAGCGGGAUCAGGAACACACACGAGUGUGGAGAGAUGCAGAAUGCCGCAGUCGUGUACAUCGCCUCUUUUCGAACGGAUCGAGAGCAGCUGAGCAGCGGUUGCACGAGGCAUGCAGGCGCACGUUAAAGAGGGGCGGCGCGACAGGCUGGGCAAAGGCUUCAUUAUUUCUUUUUUUUUUCCUUUUUUUGGUUAGCUGCAGUCUCGUUAGAGGGUGCGUGGCAUCAUGCGUGACUGAUUUCUUGCCGUGUGUGACCUCAUGUCCACGGCCUGCUUUGGUGUGUGAGUCAAAAGCGGCUCUCUCGCGCGAGAAGCCGGCGUCCUGCACUCCUCGUGUACGUCACGGAAACGGCAACUGCGACACAAGCCGUAGAAGAAGCUUCCUUCGUCUGGAGCCUUCUCCAUAUGUCUUGCCGUGAUGUGCGCUCGCUAUCUCUCAUCUCUGGUACUCUCCGUGUCUCUGCGCGAGCUGCUAAUGGUGCGGUGUGCGUGGCAG
rnacentral:misc_RNA from 1 species